rnacentral:rRNA from 1 species
GACGAACGCUGGCGGCGUGCUUAACACAUGCAAGUCGAACGGUGAAGGGACUGGUUUUGCUGGUCCUGGAUGAGUGGCGAACGGGUGAGUAACACGUGAGUAACCUGCCCCCUUCUUCUGGAUAACCGCAUGAAAGUGUGGCUAAUACGGGAUAUUCUGGGUCUGUCGCAUGGUGGGCCUGGGAAAGAUUGCGCCUUUUUUGGUGUGUUUGGUGGGGGAUGGGCUCGCGGCCUAUCAGCUUGUUGGUGGGGUGAUGGCCUACCAAGGCGGUGACGGGUAGCCGGCCUGAGAGGGUGGACGGUCACACUGGGACUGGGACACGGCCCAGACUCCUACGGGAGGCAGCAGUGGGGAAUAUUGCACAAUGGGCGCAAGCCUGAUGCAGCGACGCCGCGUGAGGGAUGGAGGCCUUCGGGUUGUGAACUUCUUUCGCCAGUGAAGCAGGCCUGCCUCUUUUUGUGAGUGGGUUGACGGUAGCUGGAUAAGAAGCGCCGGCUAACUACGUG